CCCUCUCUUCCAUCUCCCCUGUUGCUUGCCGACGGCGGCGGCGCUUUAGAUCCGGUGGCAAGCGCCUCCCUUCCCCUUCCCAGCUACUCUUACUCAAGGCCACCUGACUCCUCCUGGCCGCCGUCACGGCGGUGAACCCCGGGGCCCUGCUCCUGUAGGCGCCUAGGAGGCACUGCGUGGCAUUCCCUGUGCCCGCCUCCGGCGCAUCUACGGCGAGAAUGAGCUCGUGCUGUCUGCGCCCAAGCUGCAAGGUGGCCACCUCUCCCCUGCUUUCUCACCAUGCCGCUGCUAUGUACUGUCAUUUUCUUUGCCGUAAAUGACAGAUUAUAUCACUACUUUGAUGCAGGCUGAUGCUAAUCUGAAGCCAUCUUUGAUGCUAAUUUGGAGCCAUUUUCUUUGCCGCUAUGCACAGUCCAGAGCUGGAGCCAUGCCCUUUAGUUUGUAGUUCGUUAAUCUGUCAGUAUUGAGAUUACAUUGAUUCUGAAGCGUGUUAAGGAUGCAUUGUUAGUACUAUUUUGAAUAAUGGAUUUACAGAAUUUGUGACAUUCCACUCCUCAGUUUGUUUGUGUCAGUUUCUUUAACAAAUAGCAAUGCACUCCAUAUCUUUUUAAGGCUUAAAAAAUCCUCAGUUUGUACAAGUCAGGCUCAAGUCCUAGUGCAUGCUUGUACAAGAAUCGAUCAAGUGCUUCUGCUACUGUUCUAGGCGUUUUGGUACUCUAAUUUGGAAGUUUUGUUUCACUCAUAAGUAAUAUGGAGAAUCAAAUUAGAAGAUUCAGUCCGGUCAGAUAAUUUCAGCGUCUUGCAGUUUAGCACAAUUCACUAAAAAGAUUAAUACUUCCAGUUCCGUAUACAGCGUCUUCCGUAUACAGAGUCAAUAGCUUGAAAAGUUGGAAAGAAAGUAAAUUUAUUCUGCUAGGCAAAAAAUAAAAUAAAAUUGUCCAUUUAUCAGCAUAUCAAAAUCUGGAUUCAUGUAUAUAAGAUUCAUAGCUGAAAUUGCUCUAGUUUAACAGAGAAUAAUAAGAAGUGUCCUUGUAUAUAUCAAUCUGGAUUCAUGUAUAUAUGAUCUCGCGUGAUAAUUGAUUUCUUGCUGUUAGUCCUCAAUGUUGGAUUUCACUAAGACAAAUUGAUCUUCAUACACACCGUCAGAUGGUAUUGUUGAUGCAUAUUUAUUUGCUCAGCUCACAAUUAAAAAGUUUUAGGUCUGAAUGUAUGACACAUACAUGGGCUUGCGCUAACUGAAUCAUAUUUGUCACAUAUGACCUCUCCCAGGACAAGAAGCUGGAUGAACAAGUGCUGCAUCUGGAAGCAACUGUUGUGUGCCAUCAAGAUAGCAACGUUGAUAUAGUUCUUAAUGGCAAUCCUUGUUGAGUGAUGAUUAGCAUAGUCCUUCAGACUUAGCAUUGCCCGUCAUGUACCAAAGCUGAUGCAACUUUCGCUAGGAAUUCUUGUUGAUCCUGUCAUGUUAUUGAUAACCUGAUAGGAAUGUCUUCUCGUGUUUUGCCUGGGAGUUCCAGUUUGACAUGUACUCAAAAGAUGUGGCGGGGAUAGUCCAGUUUGACAUGCAGUCAAGCCUUUGUGCUUAGAGUGGUCCAUUUUAACAUGUAUACCCAAUUUCUUGUGCCUGAGAUGGUCCAGCUUAAACGUACUCACAUAUCAAUGCCUGCGAUGGUCCAGUUUUCUGUGUAGAGGCUGGCUUAAUUUUGUUGUUUACUCAAAUAUCUUUGACAUGCAAUACUAUGUGCAAAGGGAGGGAUCAGGAAUGAAUGUUGUGAAGAUAUGCAAUACUCCCUCCAUUCCACAAUGUAGUGCUUCCUCUAUCUCCGUGCUUCAACUUUGACCGUAAAUUUAACUAUCAAGACCAAUUGCGGCGGGGGCAAAAAUUAUAUCAGUGAAUUCGUAUUCGAAAGAAGUUUUCAAUUCUAUAAUUUUUUCUCCC
rnacentral:lncRNA from 1 species